UAUAUUCUCAGGACGGCGAGGCCAGGCAGCUUGUGCUUUUGGCCCUGCCCUGUGGGAGUUUAUAGCUACAAAUCAGGAACCAAAACCAAUGAAGGUCGUAAAAAGAGGUAAGGCCAGAACAGGGAGAGCAGAUGUCAAGGUUUGAGAGCUACAGGUGCCGGGGGCUAGCAGGGAGCUAGCUCUUUGUUUACUAGUGCAACUCUGACAUUGCUGCAAGCAAGAGACAUUUAACAUGAACUUUCUUGUUUAUAAAAGUUGUCGACUUUUUCCACAUCGUGCCACAUUGCAACUGUAGUCAGCAAUGUGUUUGUGUAAGAUUUAAUGUGAUGGAACAACACAAAGUAGCCCAUUAUUCAGAAGUGGACUAAAACAGACUCAUAAGUCUGAUUUUUUUAGAAACAUUUUUCGUUGACAUUAAUAUCCAGAGUGUCAUGAUUUGUGGUGGUGAGGUGGUGAUGCAAACACGGUGGACCCAGGUUAUGGUGAGAAAUUAUGAUUUAAUGAUAAGUAAGCACAAUAAUCCAAAGUCCAGGCAGCACAGAAUGAGCCGAAGGCUAAGAGCUCAUAACCGGUAGCACAAAAUAGACAUCUGAUGACAGACUUGACAGCAGUCGAGACGGUAGCAUAGACAAGACGAUAUGAGGACCCGACAAGGAAACAAGGGACAGAGGUGGGUUUAAAUACACAGGGAGAUAAUCAGGAGAAACAAGGAACAGGUGUGACCAAUCAAGGGGUAGCCAGGACAACACUCAAUUGACAUAGAAAUAAAAAAUAAACGCAGAAAAAAACAAAUCCUGUGUAUUUUCCUACCGAAACCCCCCCCAAUUAUUCUUUGUAAAGUAGCUUGACCUCCGUCUGAUUGCAUGGAGAGUGUCAGUAAACAUACAUUUUUGAGUCUUGCUACAGAUUUUCAGUUGAACUCAGGUUUGGACUUUGACUGGGCCACCCUAACGCAUAAAAAUGCUUUACUUUAAGUCCUUCCACUGAAACUAUAGUUGAUUUCCAGCUGCCAAGUGAUCCUCCAUCCCAAUCUCAAGUUUUUAGCAGCCUUUAAAUGUUUUAUAUACUGUUUAUAUAUAUAUAUAUAUAUAUAUAUAUAUAUAUAUUUAGUUAUUUUAUUUUGUAGGAUUGUCUCAUAUUUGGCUCCACCCAUUAAUAAACUCUGAUCAGCUUCCCAGAGUCAGAAUGGUAAGGAGGCAAAAGCUGGAUUAAUAGUUUUUUUUUUCUUCUCUUAAGCCUGCAAGUGUAUAUUAGGGUUGAAUAAGCUUCUAAUUUAUAUAGAAAAAUGUAUGUAUAAAUAUCUUUUUUAUGUUGAAGAAUAUAUUUUAAAUGGUCAAGUCUUAUACUGAGUCUUAAUCUAACACUUUAGUAGAGUUUGAAUAAGAAAGCAGGGAUCAUAUGCAGAGUGCAAGUUUUCAGAGUAAUAAAAUAUGCCCAUUAUUUUCAGAAAGAUGUUUAAAAACGACAUCUCGAAGGUCCACAGCAUUGAGAUGACUAAUUUUGCCCUAAAGUGCCUUCACUUCUGUGACCUUCUUGUUCUUGGUUUAAUUGACACUGAUGUUAAACGUUCCUCUCAGGAGUGAUAACAUUAAGUUGGCUGAAGUCAGCGCUCACGCAGCAGUGAGAGAGGAAUUAAAUUGUUUUGUCCGAAUUUGCCUUCAGGCUCAAAGGUUUAACUGUUGUCAAUCGGUGUAAAGCUUCAAAGAGUCACACUGACCUCAGCUCACUCCCUUAGGGGGACUUCUCUCUUACUUUUAGCGUGGCAUUCAAUGACACCUUUGGGUUUGACGUAAACCUCAAGCCUGGAUUUCAGGAAUUCCAUUUUUUGCAAGUUUUCCAGAAACAAGAUUGAAUUUUUAUUGGAUGUGCUGCAGUGGUGUUGGGCUUGACUGCGUUCAGCAUGGACAUGGUGUCAAGAAUAUACACAUUAAGGAUUUUAUCUUUUACCAUUAUGUUUUCCGUGCCACGUGUAUAUGUUCAAAGUGAAGAAUAAGCUCAUAUUCUUCACUUCGAAUGAAGAAAUGUACCUUAGGACAUUUAAAAAUGACUAAGAUUUUAAAUUUGAAGACAAAAUAAUGAACGUCCGCUUUUCGUUGUGUCCAAAAGCUGAAAGAAUAAACACAAGAAUAAAUUAAUCACUGCUAACUUUGACCACUAGAUUUUUUUUUGCGCCAAAAAUUGGCAACAAAAAAGCCAAUUUUUGUUGCUCGUGGUUGGUUUCCAAAAGCAAUAAAGAGUAAAACAUCCAAUCAAGCGAAUACUGAAUUAUUCGGUUGAAUUUUGAAUGGAAAAUUGUGGUCGGAAUUUGAAGAAUUUGAAAAAUUCUUACAAAGACGACAUUUUCCAUUGAAUUGACCUGAAAAAUGGAGGCAGCUGAAAAAAAAUAAAAUAAAUAAAAAUUUUCGUGACACAAUCAACAAAUGCUAUUUUGGGUUUUCACAUUGGAGCAGCUGCACUGGCUACCACGUACUUGACAAAAAAAAAAAAAACCAAAAAAAGCUUUUACCAACAUUGAAAACCUCCUUUGCAGAUAAUGUUGUGUCAGUAAAAACUCAACAGAAUAUCGAGUUCAUCUAUUUUUGGACUUGAUGGACACUUUUAAUGGAGUUUUGGUGAACUUGCUGCGUGUCGCCAUCCACGCAAAAACGUUAACAGAAAACGGCCUGCUGUUUUCAGCAACAUAACCUCGCCGCAUUAUUCUUUAACUUUAUACACCGAUAUGCAGAUAGGUAGGCCACUUGGUGAUUUUUCCAGGGUCACGUUAAUGUGUGCCAGAAGGCGGCUGAAAUUGAACCUACAACCUUCCGAUCACGAGACAACUACUCUUCCCCACAGUGAAGACAAAAACUUCUCAGCGAAAUGUCCGUCCAGUAGUUAAAAAGGACCUGGAAUAAAUUGGAAAUAUGCGUCUCGGACCAAAACGUGUUGGCAUGUCUCGCCUGCUCUCUUUGGACUGUCAUCAAAGUUUAUGCCGGGUUGUUAAAAGCCAAGCACGGAGCUCGUCCUGACCAAAGAUCAAAGCUCACUCAAAGCUUUCAUGCAUCAAUAGCUUUGCGUUCAUUGUCAGCAGCUUGCCUUUUGUUCGUGGAUGAAGAAUGAGGUGCGCUAAAAGCGGCUGUGCUGUUCCAAACACAAGUGAAGGCAACGCAAACACCCUGGGCUGCUCAUCUCAAAUCCCUUCUGCACCACCUUUACACUGCUAUAAGUCUUCGAGGCUCACUAAAAUAUUCAUCGGGGCUGGAAGAACAGCACAACGCCACAGAGGACCAGAUGACAAAUGCACACAUUCAGAGGAGCGCGCAGGACACUGCUGCGUGUGGAAAGUGUCCGAUGCGUCGGUUCAGUGGUUUUAAUACCGACUAGAUGAAUCAUGUGAGCCGUGACGAGACCUUUUCAAGAGAUUUUUUAUCCGCAGCAGAACUUUACUCAGCUCCUGCUCACUGAACACAACCCGGAAAACUGAAAUGGCCCUCCUAUAAAUUACAGCAAAGACCGAGCCUAUAUCGACGGCUUCGGAUGAGCACGGAUUGCUUGAAUGCACAGUACGCCACCGAACAUUACAGUUGCAUGCACGGACCAGUUAUUAUUUUACCACAGCCGAGGCCGUCUGCAGUAAACAAAUAUCUGUAACCGACUCAUGGAGCACGUAGCUCCCGUUUUGCUUGCAGCCACACAGCAGUUUCUGGGCUCCUGGUUUCUAAGACGUGAUUGAAUUUGUAUGUGCACAUUCUGGCACAAGGACAGGUCAGUGGUCGCCGUGUAAAACGUCUCAUCGUCACAUGUUUAUCACCACACUCGAGGCGGAAUUAUUUUAACUUUUGUGAAUGACGGCGCGCACAAUGGGGAGUAACAGGCGGCUGCAGGAGGGAGCAGACAUGGAGUGCCAAAAGAGACGAACAUUUCUCGUUUGAGCUGCUCGUUUCAGUUUGUCCCAGUCCGAUCCAAAUUUAUGAUGCAAGUUGGGAAGAAAAGAAAACUUCUGCCUUUAGAUUGAAAAGAUGCCCUCAAACAACAUUCAAUUUCUUGCAAAAAAAAAAAAUUGGGGCCGAUUCGGCUCCUCAAUGUGGUUCUUUGUUCUUCUCACUCUUCAUCAUUCGCAUCCACUCUUAAUUGAAUUAAAAGCGCGGGCCUAAUUCCAGCUCAUCAGCUUACUAAAGUCUCGUAUCUUUAUCAUUUACAAAUCAGCUGCUUCGUGCGGAAGGGCAUUACUUUUGUCCAGGCUACGUUAAAUUGCAUUAUUAAUUUCAAACAUAAAUAAAUCGGCAUAUUCUUGAUUUGCUCAAUAUUCAGUUCACAAUAUCCUAAAACGGAGGAAAGUGUCAUCACGUUUUUUGUUUUUUUUCUUAGUCUUGGCAUGAGGUGGCACAUCUUCUGCUUUUAAAAAGUGUUGGGUUUUUCUCCAUCUUGCAAUGGAUUGUUGCUCAGAUUUGUAUGCAUGAUACUCAGCUGAGUGGGCAGUUCAAUUAAUAUUUUUGCCUAGAGCAAAGCUUGCAGAUGUACGCAUUAUUAUGUUUUCACGUAGCUUCACAGGAAUAUCAAAAUCAAGCCAUAGCAACCAAAAUCCCCAGUAUUUGUGAAAGAAAAAUCAUUUUCAAUGCUUUCUCAUCAUCAGAACAAACACAAAAAUCACAUGCAGACAAAUCAAACCCUAACGGUAUUAUUUAGUAGCAAUUGUGGAGGUUUGAAGCACAGCAUCGAGAAUUUUUAUGUUAAA